AGAGCUGCCAGUGACUUUCCAGGACCAACCCCUGCACUACACAGAGCUAGAGUCUCCAUUCAUGUGCCACCUCUUGCCUCUCUAGGGAAUUAUGGCUUCCUUCUAUGCCCAGAGGUGCCUAGCGAUCAUCUUGGACUCCAUCUACCUACUGGGUUAAGAAUCCUCCCCAAAGCUCGGUGUGUGUGUUGCAUGCCUGAAAUCCCAGCACUCUGGGAGGCUAAUGCAGGAGGAUUACAAGUUCGAGCCCAGCCUGGGUGACUUGGCUAGAACUUGAAAAAAGUCUGGAAUCAUUGUGAAGACACAGAGGACACAGAAACACUGAGCAGACUAUUAAGACCAGGAGAGACUGUGUUGUUUGAAGGACUGUGCCAGGCCCACUCACAGCCCCCAGCAGAAGGACCAGUGGGAAAGUGGCUGUGCUCCUCAUUCCUGAACCCUCCCCAAAAGCCUCAUUGUGAAUCAGUCUGCCCUGGGUGAGGGCCCACCCUGGCUGUGGCAGCCACACCCUUGGAAGAGGGGCAUAGAAAGCCUGGGAAUCAGGGCAACCCAGGUAUGAAGUGGGAAGAUACACUCUGAGCACGCAUGACCUGCAUGGACUCAAGGAAGCAGGUGCCACUAGUGACAAUCAUUGGCAAAUGUCCCCAGCUCUAGGUCUAUUCCUUUCUCCAUAGCUGUUCUCAGAAACCUUCUAGAUCAUCUCUCUGCACCCAAGUCACACGUUUCUGAAGCUGCUUUGCUGCCCUCCUAGGCCCCUGGCCCCAGACUGAAACCUUGUGCUCUCUCUUUUCUCCCCACACUAACAGAGAGUUCAAACCCUAACCCAAGCAGCCUGGGUUUGAACUCAGCUCUGCCAUUCUUUGUGUGGCCUUAGCCAGAUUUCUUAAUUCUUAACCUCUGUUUCUGAAUAAGUAAAAUGGGAACAAUGGAUAACACCAAACUCAGUUGUUUAAAAGGCGAUAAAAUUCUUGUAAAGUGCCAGGAUCAGUGCCUCUUCCCAUGUAGCAAAUGCCUAAUAAAUGUCAACUGGUGAAUUGUUAGACAGAGUUCUGCUGGGCAGAGCCCUUGAUUUUCAUCUCUGACUCGCACACUUGGCCAGGGUGGAUUUGGAAGGGACUUGAGCUCUCUAGGAUUUACACUGUGGGUGACAGAGAGUGGCUGUCCCAGCCAAGCUGCUUGGGGUCAUGGUCAGAGCCAUACUGUGAAGAACUGGCAGAUUGACAGGUGUGCUGGGCAGGAGAGAAAGUGCUGCCCUUAGUGAGCUCACAGUCCCUGGAGGAAAGUAGGGCAAAAUGAUGGAUGCAGUUAGAAAGUGAACAGUCCAGGGCCAGGCACAUUGCUUCAGAGAGGGCUUCCUGGGAUUGAUGACACUUGAGUCCUUGGGGGAGGUGCGUGAUACAAUAAGAACUGAUUAGCCUAGGGUUUAUUCAGGAAUCCUUUUGUUUUUUCCCACCCAUGGCAUUUAUUAGUCUUAACAGUAAUACAAUAUAAUAAUGUUGUCUCUUGAGUGUUUGCCAAGCACAGCACUAAAAAUCCUGUUCUAAAUUCACUUAAUCUUCCCAUCAACCCUAGGAAGCUAUUGUUAUUAUUAUUCGUAUUUCAUAGGAGGGGAAACCAAGGCACAAAGAAAUAAUAGAUCUCUCUCUCGUUCAGUAAGCAACAGAGCAGAUUUGAACCUGGGCGGUUUGGCUACAGAAUCCAAGUUCUUAACCUGUGCCACAUACAUGCUCUGCAGCUGACUUGUCCCCACAGCCCUGAUGAGGAGCUCAUCUCAGAGACAGCACGCUUCCCCUCCCACAGGAAGAGGUUGGCGCUGUGUCCUUCAGAAGCCUCCUUUCAGCAUCAGCUCAAGGGUGAGAAGAUGUGAACCUUUCAGAAAGGGGGGAUCUGAAAGCUCAAACCCUAGGAAAUAAAGGGCUUGUGUCAGGGAGGGGAAUAGGGAUUAGAACAGGCAGUUUUUAGUGGGGGAAAAGAAGGGAACUUAGAAGGCAUAAAAAGAUGGAAUUCCAACUGAACCAACAUUCCCCAUGCCAGGAGGUCCCAGAUCUGUGGGAUAGACAGACAAAUCAGCAAGAAAGGUGCUGAAUAGUAUUUGGUGAGUGUGCAGGCAGGAACCUUUGAAGGCCCAAAGGAAUGGACAGCUAGCCUGGCCCAGGGAGGUGAUCUUUGAGUGAGGUCUUGAAGGUUGAGCAGGAGUUUGCCAACCAGGUAUCACCCGUCGUUGCUGAGCCAGAAUUUAACCUCAACAGUCUGUCUCCAGAGUCUGUGUUCUCACACACAGGGCAUGUGCAGCUCUAUGCCCUGCCACAGAGUCUGGCCUUAGGGGAUGUGACUCUCCAGGUUCCAGGUCACUUAGUGGAAAGCCCUGAUCAGAUAACCAGCCCUUGUGUUCACAAACUCCACUCCUCACCUCUUCUGCAAGGGGAGUUGACCAGCCUUGCAAGGAAGGUCUCAGCCUCCAGAUGGCCGGGGCUGUGGUGUCCUGCAGGCACACGGAUUCACUCCCAGGGCUACGGGGAAGGCAGGGGGACAAAAAAGGCAUCUCCUGCUUUGCCUUGCAAUUCCCUGCUCCAGCACCUGGAAUGAGCUUUGCAGACGGGCACCUCCUC
ensembl:lncRNA